rnacentral:rRNA from 1 species
GAUGAACGCUAGCUACAGGCUUAACACAUGCAAGUCGAGGGGCAGCAUGGUCUUAGCUUGCUAAGGCCGAUGGCGACCGGCGCACGGGUGAGUAACGCGUAUCCAACCUGCCUUACACUCUUGGACAGCCUUCUGAAAGGGAGAUUAAUACCGGAUAGUAUAACGAGAAGGCAUCUUUUUGUUAUUAAAGAAUUUCGAUAACCGAUGGGGAUGCGUUCCAUUAGUUUGUUGGCGGGGUAACGGCCCACCAAGACAUCGAUGGAUAGGGGUUCUGAGAGGAAGGUCCCCCACAUUGGAACUGAGACACGGUCCAA